rnacentral:rRNA from 1 species
AGCGAACGCUGGCGGCAGGCCUAACACAUGCAAGUCGAACGAACUCUUCGGAGUUAGUGGCGGACGGGUGAGUAACACGUGGGAACGUGCCUUUAGGUUCGGAAUAACUCAGGGAAACUUGUGCUAAUACCGAAUGUGCCCUUCGGGGGAAAGAUUUAUCGCCUUUAGAGCGGCCCGCGUCUGAUUAGCUAGUUGGUGAGGUAACGGCUCACCAAGGCGACGAUCAGUAGCUGGUCUGAGAGGAUGACCAGCCACACUGGGACUGAGACACGGCCCAGACUCCUACGGGAGGCAGCAGUGGGGAAUCUUGCGCAAUGGGCGAAAGCCUGACGCAGCCAUGCCGCGUGAAUGAUGAAGGUCUUAGGAUUGUAAAAUUCUUUCACCGGGGACGAUAAUGACGGUACCCGGAGAAGAAGCCCCGGCUAACUUCGUGCCAGCCGCCGCAGUAACAC